GACGAACGCUGGCGGCGUGCUUAACACAUGCAAGUCGAACGGAAAGGCCCUGCUUUUGUGGGGUGCUCGAUUGGCGAACGCGUGAGUAACACGUGAGUAACCUGCCCUUGACUUUGGGAUAACUUCAGGAAACUGGGGCUAAUACCGGAUAGGAGCUCCUGCUGCAUGGUGGGGGAUGGAAAGUUUCGGCGGUUGGGGAUGGACUCGCGGCUUAUCAGCUUGUUGGUGGGGUAGUGGCUUACCAAGGCUUUGACGGGUAGCCGGCCUGAGAGGGUGACCGGCGACAUUGGGACUGAGAUACGGACCAGACUGCUACGGGAGGCAGCAGUGGGGAAUAUUGCACAAUGGGCGGAAGCCAGAUGCAGCAACGCCGCGUGCGUGAAGACGGCCUUCGGGUUGUAAACCGCUUUCGCCUGUGACGAAGAGUGAGUGACGGUAAUGGGUAAAGAAGCACCGGCUAACUACGUG
rnacentral:rRNA from 1 species